rnacentral:rRNA from 1 species
AACGAACGCUGGCGGCAUGCCUAACACAUGCAAGUCGAACGAGACCUUCGGGUCUAGUGGCGCACGGGUGCGUAACGCGUGGGAACCUGCCUUUAGGUUCGGAAUAACUCAGAGAAAUUUGAGCUAAUACCGGAUGAUGUCUUCGGACCAAAGAUUUAUCGCCUUUAGAUGGGCCCGCGUUGGAUUAGCUAGUUGGUGGGGUAAAGGCCUACCAAGGCGACGAUCCAUAGCUGGUCUGAGAGGAUGAUCAGCCACACUGGGACUGAGACACGGCCCAGACUCCUACGGGAGGCAGCAGUGGGGAAUAUUGGGCAAUGGGCGAAAGCCUGAUCCAGCAAUGCCGCGUGAGUGAUGAAGGCCUUAGGGUUGUAAAGCUCUUUUACCCGAGAUGAUAAUGACAGUAUCGGGAGAAUAAGCUCCGGCUAACUCCGUG